GAUGAACGCUGGCGGCGUGCCUAAUACAUGCAAGUCGAGCGAACAGAUGAGGAGCUUGCUCCUCUGACGUUAGCGGCGGACGGGUGAGUAACACGUGGAUAACCUACCUAUAAGACUGGGAUAACUUCGGGAAACCGGAGCUAAUAUCGGAUAAUAUAUUGAACCGCAUGGUUCAAUAGUGAAAGACGGUUUUGCUGUCACUAAUAGAUGGAUCCGCGCCGCAUUAGCUAGUUGGUAAGGUAACGGCUUACCAAGGCAACGAUGCGUAGCCGACCUGAGAGGGUGAUCGGCCACACUGGAACUGAGACACGGUCCAGACUCCUACGGGAGGCAGCAGUAGGGAAUCUUCCGCAAUGGGCGAAAGCCUGACGGAGCAACGCCGCGUGAGUGAUGAAGGUCUUCGGAUCGUAAAACUCUGUUAUUAGGGAAGAACAAAUGUGUAAGUAACUAUGCACGUCUUGACGGUACCUAAUCAGAAAGCCACGGCUAACUACGUG
rnacentral:rRNA from 1 species